rnacentral:rRNA from 1 species
GAUAAACCGGAGGAAGGUGGGGAUGACGUCAAGUCAUCAUGGCCCUUACGGCCAGGGCUACACACGUGUUACAAUGGCCGAUACAAAGGGCAGCUACCUGGUGACAGGAUGCUAAUCUCGAAAGUCGGUCUCAGUUCGGAUCGGAGUCUGCAACCCGACUCCGUGAAGCUGGAUUCGCUAGUAAUCGCGCAUCAGCCAUGGCGCGGUGAAUACGUUCCCGGGCCUUGUACACACCGCCCGUCAAACCAUGGGAGUUGGGGGUACCUGAAGUAUGUGACCGCGAGGAGCGUCCUAGGGUAAAGCCAAUGACUGGGG